CACCACACUUCAGUUUUCCCGUAUGUGUAUGCGAGAGCGGGAGCGAGUGCAAAUUUUCAUCGCUGAUUGUGAGGAGUAACUCCCAGCCUGCUACUGACAGGCUAGCCAGGAUAGUGGAAAAGUAAAAGACUGGGAAAAAAUCGACAGAUUUUUCCAUCCUCUUCCCAAAUGUGCUAAUUACGUGUCCAGUUUAGUGAUCCAAUCGAAGAAGAGUCCCAGUUUCGGUUGUUUUCACUAGUGUUCUGUGGGAGUGAAGUCCCAUCCUGCCGCCAGGAUGGGCGAUGUGGAUUUCGAGGAACUUCGGAAAAACCUGGAUAAUUUUCCGACCUACAGCAAGACUCCGACACCAUUCUACUCUUUGGUACCGGAUGUGGAUCUGGACGAUGACACGCCGUCGACCAAGAGCAGCGAUGAAUCAGACAACGAGGAUAAUGCGAAUGACGCCACUCCAGAACCGAAAGCCACCCCGAGCAAGACCCAGCAGAUCCUUCAAACCAUUUCGACCAUCAGCAGUAGUAGUGCCGAAGAUGAUGAGUUUGGCGAGGGGCUGAAAACUACGACUAUUUUGAAUAGUAAAAUAGAAAUUGAUGGAGGACACAUGCAGUUGGCACUGUGCAAUACAACCUCUUCACAGUUAUCACGGGCCAGUUCACUACCCUGGAUCCCGGGACAGGCCGAGCGGCGGCGCCGUAAACUCCCUGAAAUUCCCAAAGAUAAGAAAUCUUCCGUUCUGCAACUACUCUCCUCUGGACAAACAUCGUUAGCCGAUGAGUUGAACGCCUGUCGUAAAAACAACCCUCAGCAAACAACAUUCCUGAAGCAAAAUUCACUUCUAGCGCUCAAAUGUAGCUAUCUGCUGGACGAGGAUUCCAGUCCGGACUCCGACCGGCUGCAGAGCUUGGGCGAUGUGGACAGUGGCCACAGUACCGCACACUCACCGAAUGACUUCAAAAGCAUGUCUCCACAGGCACCGCAAGCAACCUCCCCCGUCACAUCACCCUGUCCCGCGCCCUACGGUGGCGUUCCAUUCAGCCAGCUUGAGAUGCUGGAAGCGACCCAUCGAGGGCUGCACAAGUUCAUUCCACGGCAUCACGACGAAAUCGAUUUGGAGAUCGGUGAUCCGAUCUACGUACAGAAGGAGGCGGAAGAUUUGUGGUGCGAGGGAGUUAAUCUUCGUACCGGCCGGCAGGGAAUCUUUCCGUCGGCGUACGCCGUCGAUCUGGACUACAAUGAUUUUGAUCCGACGACGGUGGAGAUGAAGCGGGAGCGAUAUUUGCUCGGAUACAUGGGUUCCGUGGAAACGUUGGCCCACAAGGGUACCGGUGUGGUUUGUCAGGCUGUCAAGAAGAUUGUGGGCAAUGGCGGUGAGUCACCGAAGGCACAGGCGUGCAUUUUGGAGAUCUCCGAUCAAGGUCUGCGGAUGGUGGAUCGAUCGAGGAACAAAAAGGACAAACGACCAUGCAUCGACUACUUCUAUUCGCUGAAGAAUGUAUCCUUCUGUGCGUUCCAUCCUCGGGACCACCGGUACAUCGGAUUCAUCACGAAGCAUCCUACGGUGCAGCGCUUCGCCUGCCACGUAUUCCAGGGCACGGAAUCGACCAGACCGGUUGCCGAGGCCGUCGGGAGAGCAUUUCAACGGUUCUAUCAGAAGUUCAUAGAAACAGCAUAUCCAAUAGAGGACAUUUACAUAGAAUAAGACAACACUUUACAGCUGAGUUCAUCUAGGGAACAAGGGUAAAAUGGCGAAGUUCGGGAUGUUCUGAAAACAAAACCAAACAUGGGGUUGAACCGAUCAGCCGGGAUGCGAAACGCGUUCCGGAAUUUGCCUACCCCCGUGGGUGUCUGAUAACAGAUGCGGUCAGCAGGACAGUGGACUGUUAUUUUUGGAACACGCAAAUCAAAGCAGGCCAUACUUUUGCCUUACUUUAUUAGCAUUUUCGUCGGUUGAAUCCCAGCUGUGUAGUGAUAUUCCAGCACUAUUUUUGUUCUUUAGUUCGUUUAGCAAAUGGUUUUCUGUUUGAUCUAUUGUUUUGUUUCCAGUCUUCGGUAGUUUUCUGUUGAAAGUAGCCGCUUUUUAUGUGUGACGUAAUGGAAUGUAUUAAUGAGCGUAAGAAUGGAGAUCGUGAUAAGCAGUGUGGUAGAACGAAGUUGUGUUUGGAGGAUUAGAAGGGAAACGAGCGAGAGCAGGCAUAUACUGUUAAACAAUAAAUAUUUCAUGAUAUUAUAAGAAAAAAUGUUAUCGUCAAAAUAUCCCCGAAUACCACACGAGAGCAUCACAACAAUAAGGAACUCCAAAUAAUAGGUUCUAUUUUCUGUGGAACAUAAAGAAAAUAAGAGAUUUUUCGAUCACUGUUAUAAAUUGUUUGUAAAAAAAUGAUACUCAAAAAAUAUUCAGUUAAUUUAAGGGAUAAACAUUAUUUGCAUGAUUAAGCUGAGAGAAAUAUUCUCUUACUAAACCUUACCAAUCAGAUGUAACGGUGCUGCUUAUAAAAUCAUAUCAUAUUCCUAUUUAAAAAGCGUUAGUUAAAAAAGUUUUUUUACUGUUUUAUUUUCUGAAUACAAUUCUGAAAUGAUUCAAAAAUGCAUUGAAGGAGAGUAACAAUCAGACUCGGAGAUGCCAAAAAAUCGAACGGGAUUGUUAUGAUUUUACAGGCAGUACACUGGCAGUCAGAAAAACAAACUCACGUAAACAACAUUUUCUCAUGGCUACUGAGAUCCCCGCUCUCUACAGGAACAUCAUUUCAAUAUCCGAAUCAGAUUUAUUGUUAUAAAUUAACCAGUGAAAUUCCUGGCACAGUGAAAAUCAGACCAUUACCAGCAAACACAUUUGCAGCUCCGAUAAACUUAGCUACUUAAAAACAAACAAUAAACUUUUAGACAGACAAUGAACAAACAAAAGGAAACUAACACAAAUAAUUAUAAAUCUUCUUUCGAACACCACAAGAGUCAUGCAACAAAUAGUUGAUAGAGAACGUGUAAGCAAAACCAAAUAUUGACAAUGUUUGCAAAAGCUGUAACUAAUUCUCCUUCUAUGCAAUAACUAUAGCAAACUCACUCAUGCGAACAACGGCAUAACAGUAAAAUGAUGAAUAAUAAAACUGCAUUUGCGAAUGAGGUUGAACAUAA